UUGCAGUUAAAAAGCUCGUAGUUGGAUUUCGGAGUGGGCCAGUUGGUCCGCCGCAAGGUGUGUUACUGACUGGUUUGCUCUUCUUCGCAAAGACUGCGUGUGCUCUUCAGUGAGUGUGCGUAGGAUUUACGACGUUUACUUUGAAAAAAUUAGAGUGUUCAAAGCAGGCUAUUGCUUGAAUACAUGAGCAUGGAAUAAUGGAAUAGGACUUUGGUCCCAUUUUGUUGGUUUCUAGGGCCGAAGUAAUGAUUAAGAGGGACAAUUGGGGGCAUCCGUAUUUCGUUGUCAGAGGUGAAAUUCUUGGAUUUACGAAAGACGAACAACUGCGAAAGCACUUGCCAAGAGUGUUUUCAUUAAUCAAGAACGAAAGUUAGAGGAUCGAAGACGAUCAGAUACCGUCCUAGUUCUAACCAUAAACGAUGUCGACUAGGGAUCAGCGGGCGUUAUCGUACGACCCCGUUGGCACCUUACGGGAAACCAAAGUUUCUGGAUUCCGGGGGAAGUAUGGUUGCAAAGCUGAAAACUUAAAGGAAUUGACGGAAGGGCACCACCAGGAGUGGAGCCUGUGGCUC
rnacentral:rRNA from 1 species